CUACCACCGGGAUGUUCAUAACCCUUUGUUGUCCGACUCUGUUGCCUCCGGGGCGACCCUGCCUUCGGGCGGGGGCUCCGGGUGGACACUUCAAACUCUUGCGUAACUUUGCAGUCUGAGUAAACUUAAUUAAUAAAUUAAAACUUUUAACAACGGAUCUCUUGGUUCUGGCAUCGAUGAAGAACGCAGCGAAAUGCGAUAAGUAAUGUGAAUUGCAGAAUUCAGUGAAUCAUCGAAUCUUUGAACGCACAUUGCGCCCCCUGGUAUUCCGGGGGGCAUGCCUGUUCGAGCGUCAUUUCACCACUCAAGCCUCGCUUGGUAUUGGGCAACGCGGUCCGCCGCGUGCCUCAAAUCGACCGGCUGGGUCUUCUGUCCCCUAAGCGUUGUGGAAACUAUUCGCUAAAGGGUGUUCGGGAGGCUACGCCGUAAAACAACCCCAU
rnacentral:rRNA from 1 species